AUCAAGUUGAUGAGUCCCAGAUAAGACGAAACACGCGUCCUGGAU
rfam:Schistosoma curassoni strain Dakar, Senegal genome assembly, scaffold: SCTD_scaffold0000637